GAAGGACUACUCGGGCGAGUACAGCAUCUACCUGGUCCCCUGCACGGUGCAGCCCACGCAGCCCUGGGCCGACCCCGGAGAGAAGCCGCUGCCCUGCACCGCGCACACCGCCGAGAGAUUCCUGAUUCCCAUCGCGUUCCAGCAGACCAACCGCCCGGUGCCGGUGGUGUACUCGCUCAACACCGAGUUCCAGCUCUGCAACAACGAGAAGGUGUUUGUCAUGGACCCCAGCACCUCCGGCAUGUCCCUGGCGGAGAUGGAUUACAAGGGGGCCUUCUCCAAAGGACCGCAGCCAGCCAGAGGUGACGGAUAAGUACUUCCAUGACGUGCCUUUCGAGGCUCACUUUGCCUCUGAGCUGCCCGACUUCCAGGCGGUCAGCAGCAUGCCGGGCGUGGACGGGUUCACGCUGAAGGUGGACGCGCUCUACAAGGUGGAGGCCGGGCACGAGUGGUACCUGCAAGUGAUCUAUGUCAUCGGGCCGGACAGCGUCCCGGGGCCCCGUGUCCAGCGCUCUCUCGGGGUCCCCCUGGGGCGGCGGCGGCCCCGGAGGGACCUGGACGACCCGCUGGUGUAUGACAACGAGGGCGACCGAGUCAGGAACGGCACCAACAUGAAGUCCCUGAGCCUGGAGGGGCCCGAGCCGGCGGCGGCCGCCACCUCCCUGGCCCAGGCGGGCGCGUCCCUCGGCGGGGCCCUGGCCGCGGCCAUGCUCCUGCUCCUGGUGGCCCUGGUGGCUUGUGUGGCCACCAGGCAGUGCCAGGAGAGGAGGAGGAGGAGGAGGAGGAAGAAACAGCCCCCCGAGGAGGAGGAGGAGGAGGAGGAUGCUCUGCAGGCCCAGGCUCUGCGCAGCUGCAAGGUGGCGGCCGCGGGCAGGUGCAGCCCGGGCCGCGUGGAGAGGGACAGGGACAGGGGCUGCCCCGCGUGGGACGCCGGCCUCGGCGCCAGAGUGAGGAGGCUGAGCCCGGAGGCCAGAGCCCACGAGGAUCUGCAGGACGGGACGGAAGUGUGAUGGGCAGGGCCCCCACCCCGUGCAGUUUUGCUCUGCUCUGUUUUUCCCAGAGUCUCGGUGUUUUUUUUAUAUAAAGCUGGGGCCGGGUGGGGAGGGAGGGGGGAAAGGGGAAAUUGCUGGUAUUUUUGUAUCGGUCUUGCAGAGGGGAAAGAGGAAAAGAGAAAUAGAAAGGGAAGGGGACAGUCGAGGACGGCGGGCGCCACACCCGUAGGCUGGCAGGUGAGCUGCCUGGAGGAGCAGAGAACCACUUUCUGUAGGAUUAUUUCUGUAGGAUUAUUUCUGUAGGAUUCUUUUCUGUAGGAUUAUUUCUGUAGGAUUAUUUCUGUAGGAUUAUUUCUGUAGGAUUAUUUUCUGUAGGAUUAUUUCUGUAGGAUUAUUUUCUGUAGGAUUAUUUUCUGUAGGGUUAUUUCUGUAGGAUUAUUUCUGUAGGGUUAUUUCUGUAGGAUUAUUUCUGUAGGAUUAUUUCUGUAGGAUUAUUUCUGUAGGAUUAUUUUCUGUAGGGUUAUUUCUGUAGGGUUAUUUUCUAUAGGGUUAUUUCUGUAGGGUUAUUUCUGUAGGAUUAUUUCUGUAGGAUUAUUUCUGUAGGAUUAUUUCUGUAGGAUUAUUUUCUCUAGGAUUAUUUUCUCUAGGGUUAUUUCUGUAGGGUUGUUUCUGUAGGAUAAUUUUCUGUAGGAUAAUUUUCUGUAGGAUUAUUUUCUGUAGGAUUAUUUUCUGUAGGGUUAUUUCUGUAGGGUUAUUUUCUGUAGGAUUAUUUCUGUAGGGUUAUUUUCUGUAGGAUUAUUUUCUGUAGGGUUAUUUUCUGUAGGAUUAUUUCUGUAGGGUUAUUUUCUGUAGGGUUAUUUUCUGUAGGAUUAUUUCUGUAGGGUUAUUUU
ensembl:lincRNA